GAGCUAGCCGUCGAAGGUGGGACAGAUGAUUGGGGUGAAGUCGUAACAAGGUAGCCGUAUCGGAAGGUGCGGCUGGAUCACCUCCUUUCUAAGGA
rnacentral:rRNA from 1 species